rnacentral:rRNA from 1 species
UGAGUAAUGUCUGGGAAACUGCCUGAUGGAGGGGGAUAACUACUGGAAACGGUAGCUAAUACCGCAUAACGUCGCAAGACCAAAGAGGGGGACCUUCGGGCCUCUUGCCAUCAUAUGUGCCCAGAUGGGAUUAGCUAGUAGGUGGGGUAAUGGCUCACCUAGGCGACGAUCCCUAGCUGGUCUGAGAGGAUGACCAGCCACACUGGAACUGAGACACGGUCCAGACUCCUACGGGAGGCAGCAGUGGGGAAUAUUGCACAAUGGGCGCAAGCCUGAUGCAGCCAUGCCGCGUGUGUGAAGAAGGCCUUCGGGUUGUAAAGCACUUUCAGCGAGGAGGAAGGUGGUGAGCUUAAUACGCUCAUCAGUUGACGUUACUCGCAGAAGAAGCACCGGCUAACUCCGUGCCAGCAGCCGCGGUAAUACGGAGGGUGCAAGCGUUAAUCGGAAUUACUGGGCGUAAAGCGCACGCAGGCGGUUUGUUGAGUCAGAUGUGAAAUCCCCGGG